rnacentral:rRNA from 1 species
GACGAACGCUGGCGGCGUGCUUAACACAUGCAAGUCGAACGAAGAGCGAUGGAAGCUUGCUUCUAUCAAUCUUAGUGGCGAACGGGUGAGUAACGCGUAAUCAACCUGCCCUUCAGAGGGGGACAACAGUUGGAAACGACUGCUAAUACCGCAUACGAUCCAAUCUCGGCAUCGGGACUGGAUGAAAGGUGGCCUCUAUUUAUAAGCUAUCACUGAAGGAGGGGAUUGCGUCGGAUUAGCUAGUUGGAGGGGUAACGGCCCACCAAGGCGAUGAUCAGUAGCCGGUCUGAGAGGAUGAACGGCCACAUUGGGACUGAGACACGGCCCAGACUCCUACGGGAGGCAGCAGUGGGGAAUCUUCCGCAAUGGACGAAAGUCUGACGGAGCAACGCCGCGUGAGUGAUGACGGCCUUCGGGUUGUAAAGCUCUGUUAAUCGGGACGAAUGGUUCUUGUGCGAAUAGUGCGAGGAUUUGACGGUACCGGAAUAGAAAGCCACGGCUAACUACGU